AAGCUAGCUUGACUGCGAGCGUGACGGCGCGAGCAGGUGCGAAAGCAGGUCAUAGUGAUCCGGUGGUUCUGAAUGGAAGGGCCAUCGCUCAACGGAUAAAAGGUACUCCGGGGAUAACAGGCUGAUACCGCCCAAGAGUUCAUAUCGACGGCGGUGUUUGGCACCUCGAUGUCGGCUCAUCACAUCCUGGGGCUGAAGUAGGUCCCAAGGGUAUGGCUGUUCGCCAUUUAAAGUGGUACGCGAGCUGGGUUUAGAACGUCGUGAGACAGUUCGGUCCCUAUCUGCCGUGGGCGCUGGAGAAUUGAGG
rnacentral:rRNA from 1 species